GGAGGUCGAGCUGGUUUUAGACUAGCAACAUUAUUCCUAGACAAGUUAUUUGUUGAUUUUUUACAUUUACUUAAGUUACAUUUGGAAAGUCUUACAUUUGGAGUACAGCUAGGCACAUCAGCCCACCAUGGGAGUCUGACUAGUAAAAUGUAGUGUUUGCAACCUGUGGUGACAUUGAAUAAGCCAAAUGAUAUAAGAUCGUCAUUGUGCGCUGCUGUCGCCUUUGUUUUCAUUGUGUGUUGUGUGGUUCUUGAGUUAUCAUCCUAUCCACCAGGUUGUAUCUGGCGGUGGUUCUGGAGACAGCGCGGUUCGAUCCAGCUGUGGGCCGGACGUCACCCAGCAGAAAUGGCAGCGUGUUAUCACCAGCUACGAGGCGCGCAUACAGACAUUGUCCAGAAACAAUCACGUCAUAUCCAGAGCGCCACGCGACCACGAUGGGACUGCCAACGAUGGCCUGCUCACCGACAGCUCCCCGCCAGCCAACGGGCUUCCGCCAGCCAACGGCGUUCUGCCCGCCGAUGGUGGCCCGACGACCGACGGUCGCUCGCCGGCCGAAGGUGAUCCUGUAGCCGAACGAGGCUCGCCGACCUACGCCGACCGACGCCGGCCCGCCCGCCGACGGCGCCCUGCCAGCCGACCGCGUCCCGCUCGCCGACGGCGUCGAUACGCCGGCGCGCGUAUCGACAUUGAUCAGAAACGAUCACAUUAUGUCCAGGUCAUUAGUCGCGGGCGCUCGAGCUGACGGUGUCGUCUGACGGCUCCACGGUGACCAGCGCCGCCUCCGCCCCGAGAACAUCAGACUCCUGAAAUGCUAAUGGCCGUACACGAACAAGAGGCUCUAAACAUCCAGGUGCAGGAUACGCGCCAUGCUCAGAGGCGUCAUCUGGAGAAGGCCGCACAGUGCACUUAAGGCUGAGCUCGGGUGUAGUGCGCGCAGACAGAUAUGAUCAACUGGCCAUCAGAUUUCAGUACGGAACUCAAGAUGAUUGGAGCCGACGUGGUUCGGUUGAUGGUGUGUCAGGGUUGAUUGAGAGUGGAGGCGAGACACCCGGAUCUGUGAAUGAUACGCCGAUACGGGUCUCGACGUCGUCUCGCAAUUUGUGCUAUGUAAUAUGACGGCUAUGCCGUGGUAUCAUUCACUCUCGAUGCGCUAAUAAAUAAUAAAUAGGACAGAGACUGGAA
rnacentral:lncRNA from 1 species